AGUGGAAUAAUCAGAAGUCAGAAUGCUUCAAAUUGGACCUACAAUAAGUAAAGAAGGAAGCAUCACGGCCAUCCGGAGGUUGCCGCUGCCAAGUGUGGCUUCUGCAUGUUUUAAGAGUUCAUACUGAGUGACUCAGAGUAAAGAAAGAAAUGGUAAUACAAUGACAAAGCUGGAUUUAACCCCAAAUCCCACCUACAUCCCCUAAGACUGGAUGGGGAAAAAGAUAACCUUUGUUUGGAAACAAAUUUUUUUAUACAUCAAGUUUAAAACAGAAUUGUUAAAAAUU